GCCCCAACGCAGCGCUGGAAACCUAGCAGCUCCCCGAUGCCUUCGGCCCAGUAGCUCAGUCACCCAGGUUGGGUGAAGUUAGAGACCGGCACCCUUACACCAAGAUGCUGGGGCCCCGGCCAGGUAUUUUUUGCACCGGGGCUGGGAGGUGGCCGAGCAGCCCGCAAUGCUGCCAGGCGAGCGGUGGGAGCCGAGCAGAGCGGACGGGCUCUGCUAGCAGGGUCGCCCUCCCACCCUCCCGGGCCGGGCCCCUGCGGGGGAUCAGCCCGUUAAGCCGGGGAUGAGGCGACACCGGCCGGUCCGUUAGGCGCAGCCCGGCAGCGGCUGACAGCGCUCCGCUCGCCCGGGAGCCACGGCAGCUGUGAGGGGCCCCGUCCCAGGCAGCCCCCCCCGUGCCUCACCUCGGUCUCCACCACCUCAUGUAUGUCGCUAGCCAUCACACUCCUCAUGUCAACAAACCAAUGGGCAGAAAAAGUGGUCACACAGUAUAGACUUUCUAAUUCCUCUCACUCUUUUAAUGGAACUACGUACAAAUCAAUUGUGUGGAAAUUGUGAGUUUUGGAAUUCACCUUCCAAAACGAGGGAAGGCACUUUCAUUCACACUGACUCCAGACAUGAGGUACUAGAGUUCAUUGAGCUGCCAAGGCUCAAAUGUGGCAGGCUCCAGAAAAAUUCCAGCAUUUCUGGUUGAUCCAUUUAAUAUGUUGAAUGUUGACUCUUCAGUCAAUCAUAUUACCUACAGUAGUGCUUACAUUUCACUUUUUCAUUUUCAAAGCACUUUACAACCAUUAGUUAGUCCUCAACGCACUGUGAGUAGGUCAGACUUAUCUCCAUUUUACAGAUGGGAAAAUUGAGGCACAGAGAGUUUAAGUGACUUGCCUAAGGCUAUACAGAGGAAGCCCAGCACUUAGCUCAGCAGACUACAUCUGUAAUUUUGCAUGCAGGUGAAUGAAUUAAAGCCUUAUUGGCUUCCAGGCAGAAGUAGUAGGGAAGCAGAAUGCCGUGGACUCAGUUGUAGUGAUAGAUGCUGUAUUAUAGUCAAGCAGUGCUGAAACUAGCUAGCUGUAAUUUUAUAUUGGGCAGACUGAUGACAUUUUGGCCAAGUGUGGAGGUAGCACUGAGCGAUAACAGUGCAGUGUCACUUUAGAAACCAGGAGUGCCAGUCCCAAAGGUGCCUUUUACCAUCUCACCGGACAGGGUUCAUUGGAGACUGCCCUCAGGCAAAGACCAUGUUUUACAGCUCAGUGGAGGUGCUGGGGAGGAUGUCAAGUAAUCCUUCAGGAAGGGUCCCAAGUUGCACACAUUUUUCCUGUGAUAGCACUAGAAGGAAUUUAUGCCCCAGAUGGAGGAGGUUAGCUGAGCAAAUGCGCCCAAAUGGAGCAUUGCAAAGAGGAUGUGGUGCCUAGAGACCCAGAAGGGCAUUGGAGGGUGCAAGGAAGCACAACAAUACAUUUAAAAGUUCAAGAUACAAGAAACAAUGAAAAAGGAUAAAGGGAACAAAAGUGUCAAAUAAAACAUGUAUAUUUAUAACAUGAUUUCUAGAGACUAAACCCAGCAGGCUAACUUUCUGUCUAAAGAAGUUUAUCUCAUCCAAAUGUCCUUUGCAGCAUUUCCAACCAUGGCAGGUUGUGAUCCUGUUUUCAUGAAUGUAAUUGUACUGCCCAGUUACUUGCUAAGUGCAGGAUAAAGGGUUGUCUUCCUUGCCUUCUCCUUAUUUUCCCCAAAGUUCAUUGUCUGAACUUCAGAAUUUGGAUGAGCCCUACCCUCAUAGCAUAUUCUCUGGUGUGCUGCCUCCCUGUUGAGUUCACAACCCUCCCAUUGACUUCAUAUACCCAAGCAAUGCUGUGUUUUAGAGAUCACCUUUACUUAAACAGCAAAUGCAACAUUUUCACUCUGUGAGAACAAACAGUUGUAUUGCUGUGGAGACCAUGCAUGCACAGCACAGGUAAAGGGUGACAUCCUGGCCCAAUGGGAGUAUCCCCAUUGACUUCAACAGAGUGAGGAUUUCACCCAAAAUCUUUGAAUUUACUGGAAAAAAAUUUUGUGAUCAUGUUUUUAUUUUCCUUUGUGCCUAUUAUAAAUAAAGCUUCAGCGCCUUGUAGCUGAAAGUGACUAA